rnacentral:rRNA from 1 species
GGAAUCUUCGGCAAUGGGGGCAACCCUGACCGAGCAACGCCGCGUGAGUGAAGAAGGUUUUCGGAUCGUAAAGCUCUGUUGUAAGCGAAGAACGUGUGUGAGAGUGGAAAGUUCACACAGUGACGGUAACUUACCAGAAAGGGACGGCUAACUCCGUGCCAGCAGCCGCGGUAAUACGGAGGAUGCGAGCGUUAUCCGGAUUUAUUGGGUUUAAAGGGUGCGUAGGCGGGUGCUUAAGCGUGAGGUGAAAGCUCGGAGCUCAACUCCGGAACUGCCUCGCGAACUGGGUGCCUUGAAUGUCCGUGCCGUGGGAGGAAUGUGUGGUGUAGCGGUGAAAUGCAUAGAGAUCACACAGAACACCGAUUGCGAAGGCAUCUCACGAACGGAUGAUUGACGCUGAGGCACGAAAGCGUGGGGAUCAAACA